UCGAACGCGGGAGAUGGCAUUCCUCCUGCGGUUUUUCCAACCGCCGGCUUUGUCCGGCUGAUGAUGCCUACGUGUCC
rnacentral:ncRNA from 1 species